rnacentral:rRNA from 1 species
CUUGCUCUCUGGAUCAGUGGCGAACGGGUGAGUAACACGUGAGCAAUCUGCCCCUGACUCUGGGAUAAGCGUUGGAAACGACGUCUAAUACCGGAUACGAGCUGCGAAGGCAUCUUCAGCAGCUGGAAAGAACUUCGGUCAGGGAUGAGCUCGCGGCCUAUCAGCUAGUUGGUGAGGUAAUGGCUCACCAAGGCGUCGACGGGUAGCCGGCCUGAGAGGGUGACCGGCCACACUGGGACUGAGACACGGCCCAGACUCCUACGGGAGGCAGCAGUGGGGAAUAUUGCACAAUGGGCGCAAGCCUGAUGCAGCAACGCCGCGUGAGGGACGACGGCCUUCGGGUUGUAAACCUCUUUUAGCAGGGAAGAAGCGAAAGUGACGGUACCUGCAGAAAAAGCACCGGCUAACUACGUGCCAGCAGCCGCGGUAAUACGUAGGGUGCAAGCGUUAUCCGGAAUUAUUGGGCGUAAAGAGCUCGUAGGCGGUUUGUCGCGUCUGCUGUGAAAACCCGAGGCUCAACCUCGGGCCUGCAGUGGGUACGGGCAGACUAGAGUGCGGUA